UGGCUCGAACCGAUCACACUGAACCGGAAUCUACGGUCACUGCUCAACUUAGGCGGGAAAGGGACCAAGGGGGUUCUUCUUGAACCCCAUCCCUCUCGAUCGAUCGCGUCGGUUCACCUUCUCUGAUGGCAUCGCUUUCUCAAGGCUCCGAUCUCUUCUUCUUCUGGGGCUGGUCGAUCAUGAGCCGUCCUGGUGUUCCGCAUCCUGGCGAUCCAUGGAAGGUAUUCCUUCGCUCAAGAUUUUGCUUCUUCGUUCCGUGUCUGUCGAUUUUGGGGACUUGGGGUUUUGUUCUUCUUCCUAUCGAGUAAUAUUGAUGUGUCGAGUGCUUGACGAUUUGUAGCAGCGAUUCUUAUCGGAAAUGUGUUGGGAUUGGUCGAGAAUUUCGAGCGCAAAUCUUUCUUGAACAUACGUGCCCUGGGUUUUCUUGUUCCUAACAACUUCUUGAGCGAAACCGAUCCUGGACGAAACCCUUUCUUGUACUCGAUUGCUGUCUAGAUCUCGACGAUUCGUAGCAGCGAUUCUUAUCGGAAACGUGUUGAGAUCGAUCGUUUCCAUUCUCUGUCCGAUUACUCAAAACGCAAACCGUCGUUGAUCAUACAUGUUCUUGGCUUGCUUGUUCCUAACAAGUUCUUGAGAAAAACUCAAUCCCCUUUUAGGUAAAUUUGGCGGACCCUUUCUUGUACUUGAUUGCUGUCGAGGGUUCAAGAAUUUGUAACAGCGAUCUUGAUCGGAAAUGUGUCGAAACCGAUCGAUAAUUUGUAGUAUUUAUUAUGGCGUGAUUAAUUUGACUGAAAGCAAACUUUCAUUGAUCAUGCAGGAUGUUGGCAUUUCAAGGGCUGGGUUUCUUUUUCCCGAUCCAAGCAGAGUACGCCAUCAAGGAGUUCGUCUCUCGCUAAUAAGGUUUACUUUCCCCUUUGUUCUCGAUCUUAAUAUGUACUGCAAUUGCAAACCUAGUUGUUCUUGUAAAUACUUCGAUGCCAUUCUAUUUACAUGAUUAUGUUCAUAUACUUAGCCAUCAAAUUAUAAGGAACUUUCAUUUAACCGUACUCCAACAUUUCCACAUUUCCGUACUGCAUUAGAUUUCAUUAUAUGAUAUCAUAAGAAGCUUAAAAUGCUUAGUCUAAUAAA
rnacentral:lncRNA from 1 species